UUGUAAUACAUUUUUCUUCUCUAAUAUCUAUGCAUUGAACAUGUCCAAAAUACAAAUAGUUAUUGCUGAUGUUAUUGCCCAGUUCAUAUUGUUUCCAAUGGGGCAUGAAUUCUGUGGGUGAAAAUAACCUGUUCCUCUUUCUGCAUAUCUUGACUAUUACCUAAAAAAAGUCCUGGAGGUAGAUUAUAAUCUUUUCCUUCCAUGGUAUUCUGGAUUAUUUUGCUGCAAUUCCAAGCUUCAUUCUCAGGAUAUAAAUGAAGUUUACUGCAAAUAAGACCAUUAUAAAACCUUUUUAAAAGACAAUCUUAAUGGGAAAGCAAUUCUUUAAGAAAAAAUAAAAAAAGCUAAUCAUAUCCUCCUAUGGAAAAUGGAUAAAAUUGAGAAACACUAAUGGAUUAUAGAGUUUAUCACUUGCAGCUCACAUGGCCCAGUCCUAUCACAGCCAAAAGUAAUCACAUUGCUUUAUAGCCACUCUGCUGUCUCUAUGGUCUCAGUCCAGCUCCUCAUUCAAGCUCCUGGUGUUAUAAAAAUCUAUUGUCCACUGCCACUGGCUCAGAAGGGAACAGUCAUGGAAGCUCAGCCAUUUGCCCUUUCUCUCAGUGAGCACUUGAGGGUAGGGUUUUGGCUCAUUAGUUGUAACAGUCUAUGGCCCUCAGCACACAGUCCCCAAGUAAGCAGAAACUGAAGGAACUUAUUCUCCAGAGGUUCCAAUAUAGCAUCCACCUCUGGAGCCAAAUUCAUUCAAAAUUCCAAAAGAAAAGCAACUCAUCUUCCAUUAUGAGUACAAGUUGGUGAUCUAGGUAAGAGUCAGGACUCCCCACAGGAUGGAAAAUGUGGCCAUCUCCGAAGUCUGUCAGUUGCCUUUAUAAGCUAACUUCUUCAGAUUGGACAAUUCAAACUUCACUGGAGUCCCAGACACAAGCAGUCAAAGGGGCUGAUAGAGAAGAAAGGUGUAUCUGAAAGGUAAUAUUUCCAAAGUGUCAGAGCAUUUAUAGUAAGCAUUCUAGAAGCAGGGAAACCUGUCUGGUCAUGAGAUAUUUGGAGCAAAAUAAGGUUGGUUAUGUUUUUGUAUAAAAUAAGUGUUAUGUAUGACUUGCUAAGAAAAUGAGAGUCCGUGUACAUAUGAUGGAAAGCACAAACUCCACAAACAGACUGCUAGCUUGAAUUCUAAGGCUUUCAUCUCUAGUUGUGAGAUCUUAGGCAAAUUAACUUCUCUGUGACUAGUUUUCACAUCUGUAAACUGGGGCGUGCAUAGUACCUGUGUUAUUUGAGUCACUUAAAUUUAAGUGAAAUACUAUAUGUAAAAUAUUAGAGCCUAUAGGCAGGCCUUCAAACAAUCACUCACUCAACACAUAUUUAUUAGUGCCAAUGAUAGAUGUUGUGCUUGGCAUUUGGGAAAUAACAAUGUACCAAAAAAAAAAAAAAAAAAACCCAAAACAAACUCCAAAUCACAUACAUAUACACACACACCUCAAAAGCUCAUGGAGGUCAUAUUUUUUGUAGUGAGUAUUCCAUAAAUAUUCACAUUUUAUAGCAAAUAUAGUCAAUAAUGGUGCUAUGAAGAAUCUAAUUGAUUUGUUUCAUCGUGGAUGCAACAUGACUUCCAGGAAGCCAAAACUCUGUUUAUCCAAGGCACAUUGCUCAGGGAUAUGACCACCGUGGGCUAAGUUUCCUGAUUUUCUAAUGAACCUCUUCUCUUUCUUGACAUUUUUAAUAUUGCUUACAAUAUGGCCUCACCCACGGCCGAGGAACUGGAGGAUCAAGGCUUCAAGUCUUCAAGGCCUCUCCUGAGGCCUCUCAGCACAGAGCUGUCUCCAGAGGUCACAGAGGCCCUGUUGGCGUGGUGAUCUGCCCUGGUGGCUGCAGUUGCAGGAGGUACAAGUUUUGGCUUCAGUGUGACACUCGAGCUUGUCUGUCUUGAUAGCUAUAGUCCCUCUUGACCUUUAGUGUGCCUUUGCCCCUACUUAGUGUGUGGAAGCAUGAAUAAAGGCAUUGUUGGUGUUUCUGCUUGUCUGACUUGGAGCAUGCUGGCUGAUACGGGCUGAGCCCAUUGUCUGUCUCCGACAAAUCCCAGAGGUUCCAUUAAAGAAGCUGCUGCCAAAAAAAUCCACAAAUUUCAUCAUUCAAGUCUUAUUCCAUUAAAAAUUUCAUAAUAAUGAGUUGCAAAGUGGACCUCCUUGACUUUUCCUGUGAGAUAGCGGAUGAUCAUCAAGAGAAGAAAAAAAGUUAUAUAACCCACACACUGGAUCAGAAACCUUCCAACAACCUAAGAGAGCUUAUUUAAAUCAAGCAAAUAACUACCAUUGAGAAAGUGCGAGUCUUUACCAAUGUGGAUGCAUCUCAAGGACAUACUGUUGAGCAAAGAGAAAAAAAAGAAAGGGAAACCACCCUCUGCUAAGCUGGCUGCUGAGGAUCUCACAAAUGGACUGAGAGAGACCUUCCAGGCAUGUUCUUCAGCAGUUAUACCCAAGGCUUAGGAGUUUGGUGUGGGCCUGUAACCAGCCAGAGAAUCUUUUGGAAGAAGUAACAGAUGACUAUCUAGAAUUGCACAGGAAAACACCAACCGUUUCCUUCGUGCCUUCCCUCGCAUUCCUGAAGACUGUCAGAUAGUAUUCCGCUUCUGUGAGUUCCAUUUGAUUAUUGUACUGCUUUCUUUAAAUCUCACCAGGUAGGAAGGCUCCUUGCAAUAUUAUUCAGCAAUUCAUUCACCAAACAUCUCUGGGUAGCUGCUUGUGUGCUAGGGCCAGAUCUAUGUGAACAAAACAAAAAUCUCUGCCAUUAUGAAAUUUGUAAACUACAGGGGACAGACUAUAAUCAACAUAGAUUGAAACCAGGUGGAUGAGUCAGUUAGAAAAUGAUACAUAGGUCUAAAAAAUAGAAAACACAGAACAGGUUGAGGAGGUCUGGGAGAGUGGGGAGUGACCAAGACAAGCUUCACUGAGCUGGUGACAUUUAAGCAACCACCAGAAGGAGUUGAAGGAGAACCGAGCAGUUUCCAGGCAAAGGAAUAACCAGUGCAAAGGGCCUGAGGGGAGAGCCCGCACAGCUUGCUUGAGGAGCAGUGACAAGGCCGAUUUGGCUGGAACAAAAUGAGUAAGAGGACAUCUUGGCUCCUACCACAAUAUGGAUAUUGUAGACAUUGCUGCUUUGAACAUCGGGGUGCAGAUGUCCCAGCAUUUCACUACUUCUGUAUCUUUGGGGCAUCCUACCAUCCAGGGAAGUCAAUUUCAUCAGCCUGAUGGGAAAACACCGCGUCCUUUUGAAAUGGAAUCGUCCUCUCUGAAACCAAAGUUCCACAGAAGCAAAUUAUCAGCUGUGCUGGUGCUGCUGCUGGAUUAAAGAUGAGGAUCCUAUCUUGUGUUUCUGCCACCCCCUCAUCAUUUCUAAGCCACUGACACACAGAGGCGGCCUGAUUUGCUUCUCAUCUGAGUCUCUUCAAGGGUGGGAGAGUAAUGGCCGGGAACAUAAAGUGCACACAGCCUCUGCACUUCUGUAAAAGGAGCAUCCAGCCCAGGGCCUGGAAUAAAUUUUGUUCUGUGGAAAUCA